UUGCCUGGCGGCUGUAGCGCGGUGGUCCCACCUGACCCCAUGCCGAACUCAGAAGUGAAACGCCGUAGCGCCGAUGGUAGUGUGGGGCCUCCCCAUGCGAGAGUAGGGAACUGCCAGGCAU
rnacentral:rRNA from 1 species